GACGAACGCUGGCGGCGUGCUUAACACAUGCAAGUCGAACGGGCCCGCUCUCUUUUUUGGGGGUGGGUUGAGUGGCGAACGGGUGAGUAUCACGUGAGUAACCUGCCCCCUGCUCCUGGAUAACUGCUUGAAAGGGCGGCUAAUACGGGGUGUGCCGGCUGGUCCGCAUGGGCCUGGUCGGGAUAGUUUCAUCUUCGGGUGUUUCGGUGGGGGAUGGGCUCGCGGCCUAUCAGCUUGUUGGUGGGGUGAUGGCCCACCAAGGCGGUGACGGGUAGCCGGCCUGAGAGGGUGGGCGGCCACACUGGGACUGAGACACGGCCCAGACUGCUGCGGGAGGCAGCAGUGGGGGGUAUUGCACAAUGGGCGGAAGCCUGAUGCAGCGACGUCGCGUGAGGGAUGGAGGCCUUCGGGUUGUGAACCUCUUUCUCCGGUGGUGAAGGCCCUGUCCGUUGCGGCGGGGUUGACGGUAGCCGGGGAUGAAGCGCCGGCUAACUACGUG
rnacentral:rRNA from 1 species